rfam:Myroides odoratus DSM 2801 chromosome, whole genome shotgun sequence.
GGGGUCGAUCGGUUUUGACAGCGAGUGGAAUUAGUCAGUAAGCACGUCGAGCGUUGUUGUUUUGCUCGUAAAUAUCAGACAACGAACUUUUUAAACGGCGAAAAUAAUUACGCUUUAGCUGCAUAAUCUGAAUUAUAGUAAGAUUGCCUUAGUUUCCACCAGGUGGAAGAGCUAGAUUCUCCUUAAGAGCCUUGGUUUGUGGCGCUUUGUUGAGGGGAACCGUAAAAUAAACCUAGGAAGGUUAGUGUCUCGGACAUCUUCCGAAAUCUUAGAGGCUAAGUCAGUAGUGGUUGUUUCAAACCAAGCUGCUGAUCGAAAAUUCAAGUUGAAACUAAGCGUGUAGAAAGCUCUCUGAUUGCUUGUUUGGACCCGAGUUCGAUUCUCGGCGACUCCACAG